AAUAGCAUUGCAGGAAAGACAAAUCCAAACCCAUUUGUCUAUCUUCAUUGGCUGCAUGAAGAACGGAAAACUCGCCCAAUUCUCUACGCAUUCGAUCAAACUCUCGUGAAGGAUUUCCCUUCCCUUCCCUUCCCUUCCAUCUCCGAUCUCUCUGUAUAUACAUGUACAUAUACAGAGCACGCCUCUUUCUGUGCAUUUGUAUCGUAUGAAAGUUGUGUAAGUUCGACACGGUGGGAGAGAGUAGGUCCGUCCCUUUCACGCUCGUUAUCCUCCAACGAGAUUUGGGUGCUGAAAUGGACACAAAAUUUGGACUUAUUUGCUGAAGCCUAAAAGUUUCUUAUGGAGGGGCGGAGAUAAAACGAUUUUCCGGCAAUAUCAACUAUAAUAAAUAUUACCAUAUGAAAAUGGCUCCAGCUAGCAAGGGUGACAAGAAGGCAGCAACAGAUGCGGCUGCAUGGAUGUUCAAUGUAGUAACAUCUGUUGGGGUUAUUUUGGUGAAUAAAGCCUUAAUGGCCACAUAUGGUUUCAGUUUUGCUACAACAUUAACCGGUUUGCAUUUUGCCACCACAACCUUCAUGACGGCUGUUCUUAGGUGGCUGGGGUACAUCCAAACUUCUCAUUUACCCUUUCCCGAGCUUCUGAAAUUUGUUCUAUUUGCAAACUUCUCUAUUGUUGGUAUGAAUGUUAGUCUGAUGUGGAAUUCAGUAGGAUUCUAUCAGAUCGCAAAGCUGAGUAUGAUCCCUGUAUCAUGCUUAUUGGAAGUUGUUUUCGAUAAGAUUCGUUAUUCAAGAGACACGAAGCUCAGCAUUGCAGUUGUUCUCCUAGGUGUUGCUGUCUGCACUGUUACUGAUGUGAGUGUUAAUGCUAAAGGCUUCAUUGCUGCCUUUAUUGCAGUGUGGAGUACUGCCCUACAACAAUAUUAUGUGCAUUUUCUUCAACGGAAGUACUCGCUCAGUUCCUUCAAUCUAUUAGGACAUACUGCACCUGCUCAGGCUGCAACUCUGCUGCUACUAGGCCCAUUUGUGGAUUAUUGGUUGACAAACAGGAGAAUUGAUGCCUUCGACUUUAGUAUAGCAUCUUUGGUAUUUAUAGUCCUAUCUUGCACCAUUGCAGUCGGGACCAAUCUCAGUCAGUUCAUCUGCAUUGGCAGAUUCACAGCUGUGUCGUUCCAAGUUCUUGGACAUAUGAAGACAAUCCUUGUAUUGAUCCUGGGUUUUCUAUUCUUCGGGAAGGAGGGUCUAAAUCUACACGUGGUCCUAGGAAUGGUCAUAGCCGUAGUUGGAAUGGUUUGGUAUGGAAGUGCAUCAUCCAAACCUGGUGGAAAGGAGCGCCGGAGCCAUACAUUACUGCCUAUAAGCGGACAGCAGAAACACGGCAGUUUAUCAGAAUCUUCGGAAUUCGAUGACAAGGAUCAAUUAACGAAGACGAUUAUUGGUAAAGGUCAAGAAUCUGGUGGACUGUACCUCCUUGACAGUGAGAGUAUUACUUUAGUGGCCUGCUCUGGUAUUUCUUCAGUAUCACCUCUUCAGCUUCAUUGUCAUUCAGCGCAUCCCUCUUUGUCAGAUUCUGCUGAUGAUUUCAUCGUACUUUAUGUUUCUUCCCUUGUUCCCUCAUUCCAUUCAGAUUCAUCAGUUUAUGUGAAUGUGAUGCAUCCCCCCCAAUUACUCAGAUUCUACACCCUCUUACCUAUCAAGUCAGACCUUGUGUUCCAAUUGCUCUUCAUAAAGGUAAACACACUUUCCCCUCCUAAAUAUCCCAUCUCUAAUUUUGUCACUUACUCUGGCUUGUCAACUUGUUUGAGUUCUUUCUUGUCUUCUCUUGAUCGCUAUUCCAUCCCACAAUCUAUUAGUGAGGCAGUAGAACAUCCUGAUUGGUGGAUGACAAUAGAGGAAAUGACAGCUCUCUAGCAUAAUUCUACAUGGGAUUUAGUUCCUCUUGCCCCUAGUAAAACAGCUAUUAUGUAUUGGUGGGUGUAUGCAGUCAAAUUGAAUGUCGAUGGCACCCUAGAUCAGCUCAAAGCUCAACUUGUGGCUAAAGGUUAUGCUCAGGUUUAUGAUAUUGAUUAUUCUGAUACUUUUUCUCCUAUAGCUAAACCUGCAUCAGUUCAUUUACUUAUCUCCCUUUGCACUUCCCAUCAUUGGUCUCUUCAUCAGUGAGACAUGAAGAAUGCAUUUCUUCAUGGUGGUCUCCAUGAAGAGGUUUACAUGGAGCAAUUACCCAGAUUUGUUGCUCAGGGGGAGUCUAGUUAUGUUUGGAGACUGUGCAGGUCUUUGUACGGGGUUGAAACAAUCUCCAUGUGCUUAGUUUGGGCAAUUAGGUGAAAUGGUUCAAGAGUUUGAUCUCCAACAUUCAUGUAGUGACCACUCAGUGUUAUAUAGACAUUCUAUUUCUGGAUGCAUACUCUUGGUUAUUUAUGUUGAUGACAUUGUUAUCACAGGGAGUGACAACUCAGGCACUGAGAAGUUGAAGGUAUUUCUUCUGUCCAGAUAUUGCUUCUUUGAUAGUGUAUUAAGUCAGUUUAUGUACUCGUUGUGAAACAACUAUGAGGACUGAGUGUUACCUCAAAUGGACCUUGGUCAUGGUAUUCUCUAUUGUGAUUGAGAUCAUCUCAAAAUAGAGGGUUUCUCAUAUGCUGAUUGGGUUGCAUCUCCAUUAGAGAGGAAGUCCACUACUGGUUUUUGUGUGUUUGUUGGGGGAAAUCUGGUAUCAUGGAAGAGCAAGUAGCAGUCUGUGGUUGGUAAUGUAGUGCGGAAUCAAAAUAUAGGGUGAUGGCCAAAUUGACUUGGGAAUUAAUGUGGAUUCAUCAACUACUUAAAGAAUUGGGAUUCAGCAGAUCAGAUGAGCUGAAAGAAAAUUUGAAGCCAAGAAAGAAGAAACAGACUUACCAACGAAAGUAGUCACUUCUAAUACCUAGAGGUGCUGCCAAUAAUAUAUCAGUAAUCCAUGGGGAUAAAGGCCUUAAUGGCUUCUUCUCAUGUUGCGCAUCCCCAGCAGUGGAGCUACUUGUUGUAGCAAGGCUGCCACUCUCACUUCUUUCUGCUUCACUCUGCUGCCGCUCAACCUUGUAUAUUGGGCGAUUGUAAUGAGUCAAAAUUCUUAAAAUCUCUCCACAUGCCAGAGCCCACUGUUCGGAGUACUCAUUCUGAAAAAAAGAUAUUAAGAUAAAACCCUUAGUUUGAUUGAGAUGCACAUUGCAUAAUUUAUUCAAAAUUGCCAUAUGUUACAGGAUGCAAUUACAGGAAAGAUGGAAAGGGAAACCUCUGAAAGUGAUGUUCAAAUUGCAGUUUAGUAAUUAAAAAAAAAAAAAACAGGUUCUCAACAACAUUAUGGUAAGGAAUUCCAAUUUUGGCCCACAUGAAUUCUUGUUGGUGUUCUCUUACCUCACUACUUGGGCAGACCAAAGAAAUGAAAGAGGCAAAUGGAGGACUACCACGAUCAUACUCCAGUGUGCCAUCAAUAAUACAUGAAAUAAUUGGAAGAAUGACAGCAUGCCCAUGCUCUGGAUGAUGAAGGACAAAGAUUGCUACAAAUUUUACAAUUACACAGAAGAUUUAGCUUCCCAAAAUCUCAAAGGAACAACUUCUUGUAUGGAUCAUGGGUGUAAAUUGAUACCUAGCACAUCAUCAAAAAGACGUCUUUCUUUCGACGGAUAACGAUUACGAAUCAGCUGCUCAAAGAAAAGUAACAAAAUAGACAUCAGUUGACUACAUAUGUAACCAGUAUUUUGACCAUUCAGCAAACUUACAUAAGAUAACCCCUAAAAAGAUUUGAGUCAGAAAUAAUUCUUUUGCAAUGACCAUAACAGAGCCAGCGGCAAAAGAGAAAGAAACAAAAUUACCUCAGCUAUAUCCUCUGGAAAUUGUUCUGAUGUGAACUGACCAAAGUAUUCAACAUAGGCAGUAAUUUGAGCCUACAAAUGAGAUAAGAAAAAAAGAAAAAGAUAAAAAAAAGGAAAGAAAGAAAAGAAACUGGUCCAUCAAUCAUCGUGAGAACUAAAAGGGAUAGAAAUAAUAUAGACUUCAAUACCAAUUUGAAAAUUUGAGAUAACAUUAAACAAUUCAGUAACAGUCAUCCAAAGAAAAUAUUAUACAACUUAUAAUUACCAUCAAUUCAUGUCUGUAGAACAAAUUAUCAGUGCCAUCACCACUUUCCAUCCAUCCACUCUUCUCACAGGUAAUGUAUCUUAUCAUUGAUAUGCACCACAUCAACUUUAUUAUGGAUAAUCUCGCUUCUGAUUCUGUCUUUUCUUUUAUAACCACACAUCUUCUAUAAUAUUCGCAUCUCAAUUACACAUCUUUUGCACAUUUUGGUGCUUAACUGCCCAACAUUAUGCACUGUCCAAUAAAGAUGGUUUCAUAGCCAUUUGAAUAAUUUUCAUUUAGUUUUGAAAGGAUUUUAUAAUAGCAUAAAAUGUUUGAAUAAUUUUCCUUUAGUUUUGAAAGGAUUUUAUAAUAGCAUAAAAUGUUGGACGUACUUCCCCAUUUUACCUAUAUCUCAUUGAUUUUCUGAGUAACAUCCUCAGUAAUCUUUCCUUCUAUUUGAACAACUGAUACAAGAUAUUUAAAAGUUUAAAACUGAUGUUGUUUUAGAAAUAAUUUGAUUUUCAAGUCUCACCAUGAUGUCAUCCCCACUAUUUUUUUUUUUAACUAAACUUAAAGAGUUUAUUUUUUGUCCCACUAACUUGAAGCCUUUGAAUUCUGAGGUAUCUAUUUAUUGUUCAAGUUUAGUAUCUAGAUUUUUUUUUGUCUCACCUACCAAGAUAAUAUCGUCUACAAAUAGUGUACACUAUGACAGCUCCUCUUGGUCGUGCAUUAUGAAUUCAUCCACCACAAUAGCAAAGAGGUAAGACCUCAACAUAGAUCCUUGAUGUAAUCAAACUAUAAUUGGAAAGGUCUAAAUAUAACCUCUACAAGUCCUAAUACACGUUUCUACUUGAUGAUACAUGUCUUUAAAAACUUCUCUAUAAGCAAUUUGAACUCCAUUCAAAACUCAUCAUAAGACUUCUCCAUAGACUAAGUGUUUUCAAAGUCUAUGAACUACCAUAUGCAAAUCCUCUUAUUUAGCUCUAGGCCUUUCUAUUAGAUGUCUCAAUAAGUAGCUAGCGUCCAUUGUUCAUCUACUAGGCAAGAAAUCAAGUAAACCUUUGCUCAAUCACUCUCUCCUAAAGUUACAUAACAUGGCUCAUUAACUUUGGGCAUCCCCUUUAUUCUUGAAAUGGAUGCUAGAGUGCUCUUUCUCCACUUGUCAAACAUCCUCUUUUGAUUUAAGGAUCACAUUAAAUAAUUUGUUAACCAUAAAAUGCCUUCUUCUCUCACUCAGUUUCAAGCUUCUAUUAGGAUGUAAUCCAGUCCAACUGUUUUACUGUUCCUCUUUUUUUUUUUUUUUAAAGUUUGCUUACUUUGUUUGGACAUGUACAUCACAAGUAGUUCUUAUCUUCUUUGAAAUUACCAAGAUGUCCUAACAAAAUAUUCAUUUCUCCAUAUUUAUUGAAUAGCUUUUUAAAAAUACUCCUUUCAUCUUCCUUCAAUUGCCCCCUAAUUUACUAGCACCUUUUAGUUUUCAUCUUGAUGCACUUUAUUUAGCUUAAAUCCCUUGUUUUUCUAGCUCUUGCAUUACCCAUGUUGAAUAGUUAACCACCUAACCACCGUCUCAUUUAAAUGUUUAAACUACUAGAUAGAGGGUUAACUUUAUCUUUUUUAUAUUAUUAUUUUACUCUCAACGAACCAAAUUAUAAAAAUUUCUUUUCCCAAAUUUCGUGUCAAGUUGAUGGUACAAAUUUUCAUAGGCUUUUAACCUUGCAUCAUUGACUACACAACAACAACAAUCAUAAGCCUUAAUCUAACUAGGUGACUCGACUGCAUAAAUUCUAGAUCUCCAUCAACUGGUCAUAUCCUUUGUAAGACCAUUGUAUCCUAUGUCAUGUCUCAAGGUUUUCCACCAAGUUUUCUUUAGUCUUCCCUCCCUCUUUUGCUACAAUUUUGUUUUUGUAAUUUCAUCCGCUCCCGUCAUGAUACGCUCCCCUCCCCUCAUGAAUGCUUUUAUUGGUCCUCUUCUCACAUGUCCAAACUAUCUUACUUGCGAUCCCCUCAUCUUAUCUUCAAUUGGCACCAUUUUGAUCUUAUUACAUAU